rnacentral:rRNA from 1 species
GAUGAACGCUGGCGGCGUGCCUAAUACAUGCAAGUCGAGCGAACAGACGAGGAGCUUGCUCCUCUGACGUUAGCGGCGGACGGGUGAGUAACACGUGGAUAACCUACCUAUAAGACUGGGAUAACUUCGGGAAACCGGAGCUAAUACCGGAUAAUAUAUUGAACCGCAUGGUUCAAUAGUGAAAGACGGUUUUGCUGUCACUUAUAGAUGGAUCCGCGCCGCAUUAGCUAGUUGGUAAGGUAACGGCUUACCAAGGCAACGAUGCGUAGCGACCUGAGAGGGUGAUCGGCCACACUGGAACUGAGACACGGUCCAGACUCCUACGGGAGGCAGCAGUAGGGAAUCUUCCGCAAUGGGCGAAAGCUUGACGGAGCAACGCCGCGUGAGUGAUGAAGGUCUUCGGAUCGUAAAACUCUGUUAUUAGGGAAGAACAAAUGUGUAAGUAACUAUGCACGUCUUGACGGUACCUAAUCAGAAAGCCACGGCUAACUACGUG